UUGAGGCGUCUGCCCUCGUCGAUGAGUGCACUCUCGGGUUUACAGAGGUUGAUCAUCAAUGGCUGCCCGGAGCUGCAUGUUCAACAGCAAAGUGAUGCUGAUGACUCUCAAUGGCCUAAGAUUUCUCAUAUUCCUAACAUCACCAUUGAUGGCUCCAAUUGCAAUGCUGGUAACUAUGAUCAUUUUAUCUUGUUUGUUUAUGGAAACCAUUGCAUAUAUCCUAUUCCCAUUUAGUUAAUGUAGGAAAAUAGUCAUUUUCAUAUUGCAAAGAUAAAACAGAUUAAAGAAAUACUUCGUCAGUCUAUUAAAAACAGGGGCGUAGCCAGGGGGGCUAGGGGGGCUGAAGCCCCCUCCCAAUUUUUUUUUUUUUUAAAUAUAUAUAGAUAUAUGUUUAUAUUAUAAAAGAAAUUUGUUUUACAAAAGUUGAUUAGCUUGUUAUAUUCUUCUAUUUAUAAUUAAUUUAAGGAUAAUUGUGUUAUUUAAAACUAUAUAAUCUAUGAAAAUGUUGUUCUUUAUUAUUACUAUUAUGCUUGUCUUUUAAUAAAAUAAUGUGUUAAAUAUACGGAAUGUUCAAAAAAAAAAUUAUCGGGGGCCCCGUGUAAGUUCAACCCCUCCCAAAUUAAUUCCUAGCUCCGCCACUGAUUAAAAACGUGCAUUUUUUGUCAUUUUGGGUCGUAUCACAAAUACAUGCAUUUUUCAUUUUUAAACACUGCCACACCAUAAUCCAUUUACUUUUAUCCAUACUUUUCAUAAGUUGGACCCGUUUUUUCACUAACUAUACACUUUUAUUUAAGAUUUCUUAAAAUCUGUGUCACCCAAAUAUCCACACCCCCACAUGUUUUUAAGAAUUUUUUGUCUAAAAGUGCAAUUUUGCCUUAAAUAUUCUAGACUAAAUUCACAAUCAAGAUUCAAGUCUAUUAUUGAUUAUGAAUUGCCCCAGUACUACAAUUCAAAACCAAGAAUAAGUUUGGUUGGGAAUUGGUAUUCUUGGUCGUGAAUUUCCCUAUUUAUAGAGAAACUCAUAACUAAAUUUAUUUUGGUUGUGAAGUAUAUAUAUUUUUUAAUAUUUUUAUAUUAGUGGCUAGUGUUUAUCUUAACUACGUUAAAAUGGCUAUAUUUCACAAUUUUCUAAUUAUCAAUAUUUUGUUGUGGAGUUUAUAACUGAGUCUGUUUGAAAGAAAAUAUGAAGUUGUGUUUUCUUGUAUUUGUUUCAAUUUAAUUGCUAUCCGUUUGGUGCUAGUCCUUUUUUUAGUACAUGAAAUUAUAAAGCAGGCACACUACAUCUCAAAAUGCUUCAUCAAGAUUAUGUUAGUUAGUUUGGCUCUUUUUUUUUGUGAAUCAUUGAUUUGAUUUUUUCUCCUUAAUUUUAUGUUUGUGUUUUACACAGUUAACCCUCAAGAAAGUAACACGAGAAAACAAUUGUGUUUGAGCUGCCUCAAGAAUUAGAAGAUGAAGAAGGAAUAAGUGUGACUGUCCAUUUGCUUCAAGUUGAUGACUGACUUUCUCAACCUUUCUUCAUCAACUUCAUAAUUACUGGUUGAUAUGCCACGUUUUUGUUGGCUAGGAAGAAUGUGAUAUAAAAUUCAUUGUUUGCAUUAACAAUGUGAUAAGUGUUGUAAAUAUGUCUUCUAGAUAUAUCUUAUGUAUGUUGACCAAGAAACCUAGAGGGAGAAUAACACUUGACAUCUUCAAGCCGCCGGAGUUGACUGUCCUCCUUUCACACCGGACGUUCACACCGGACGUGUGUGAACGUUCACACCGGACGUUCACACCGGACGUUCACACUUGGUUUAACAC
rnacentral:lncRNA from 1 species